AGUGCAUUGGUUCCUCUCUACUUGGGUGCAGAUAUCUUCUCAAACACAGAUAUCCGCGUGGAGAAUCACCCCAGAUACCACGCCAAGUUUGCAAAGAAAGGUUAUGCCACAAAACUGAUCUUUUCACCAGGUGAUAGAAACGCUGCAGGGUGCAUUGCAUACUUUUUAAAGUGGUUAUUAGGCUCCAUUGGUUGCAUUUGAUGAUGCAUUGGUAGACCCGAUAGCCAAGAUGUUUAACUCCCUGAUGAACAAAUGUUUUCUUUCAUCCUGUGUGGAAGCAUUCAGGUUUGAUGGACUGAGAGUCCCGACCACCACCAACAGCCUCUGGUUCUACAGCAUUCAAGGCCUUUUUCGAGUAGCUUUUGAAUUAUAUAGUAAGCAAGAACAGCUCACUGUGAUGGAUAAGUUACAGGAUGUCUGGAAAUCCCAGAUAAAUGACAGUCCUUUGGAAUUGAAUUACAACAUCAGUAUCCGGCUUGACUCUGAAGUGGGCGAUAGCAUCCCUGAAAUGGAUGAAGAACCCAAUGAGGAAUCUUUAAAUCCCCACCAGAGUCGGGUGGUUGAAGAAUCGGCGGAUGCCAGUCAAACGGACCCAGGUUCCUCUGGCGAUACCUCAGCAGAUCAUAAUUACUGUUCCUUAGAGGAGCAGAGCUUCGAGACGCAGCUAAAAUCCAUCCAGACCACGUUGUCCUCCCUCAAAUUGAGACUACAGAGCUUGGAGAAAAAACGAUGUUCUGAAGACAAUGCCGACUGCACUCAGAAGUUCAAGACUGCUUUGUUACUCCUGGACAGCAUUGACGGGUGUUUAGAUGGGAACCUGGAGGAAAAACAUCUAACACAGGCUGUGCUAACCCUGCUAGGAACAGUGUGUGGGGGUUCUGUGUAUUCCAGCCAUUUACUUAACUCUGUAGCGCGCUGGCUCGGCCAGCGGUUUCACGGUGCCAACAGCUGCAUCAGCCAAAAGGUGGAGAGCUUUAAAGUGGAGCAUAUUGAGCGCAUCACCGACCUGCCGCCUGCAGAUCAACUGGCCACAGAGCUCUUCCCAGAGGCCAUGCAGACGCUGAUGCUCCACUGGAUGGGUCUGAGCGACGAGGCCCACCAGGCGAAGAGGCACAGCGAGUAUCCCAUCCUGCUCCUCAUCCUUGAGUUCGCAAACCACAACCUCAUAACCGGUGCAGCGCACGUGCUUUACUCCAGCCUUAUAUGUAGAUGA
rnacentral:lncRNA from 1 species